rnacentral:rRNA from 1 species
GACGAACGCUGGCGGCGUGCUUAACACAUGCAAGUCGAACGGAAAGGCCCUGCUUUUGUGGGGUGCUCGAGUGGCGAACGGGUGAGUAACACGUGAGUAACCUGCCCUUGACUUUGGGAUAACUUCAGGAAACUGGGGCUAAUACCGGAUAGGAGCUCCUGCUGCAUGGUGGGGGUUGGAAAGUUUCGGCGGUUGGGGAUGGACUCGCGGCUUAUCAGCUUGUUGGUGGGGUAGUGGCUUACCAAGGCUUUGACGGGUAGCCGGCCUGAGAGGGUGACCGGCCACAUUGGGACUGAGAUACGGCCCAGACUCCUACGGGAGGCAGCAGUGGGGAAUAUUGCACAAUGGGCGGAAGCCAGAUGCAGCAACGCCGCGUGCGGGAUGACGGCCUUCGGGUUGUAAACCGCUUUCGCCUGUGACGAAGCGGGAGUGACGGUAAUGGGUAAAGAAGCACCGGCUAACUACGUG